GAGUUUUGAUCCUGGCUCAGGACGAACGCUGGCGGCGUGCUUAACACAUGCAAGUCGAACGAUGAAGCAGAGCUUGCUCUGCCGAUUAGUGGCGAACGGGUGAGGAACACGUGAGAAACCUGCCCCAGACUCUGGGAUAACAAUUAGAAAUGAUUGCUAAUACCGGAUGACGUCGGAGAACCGCAUGGUUCACUGACGAAAGGAAAUCCGGUUUGGGAGGGUCUCGCGACCUAUCAGCUUGUUGGCGGGGUAAUGGCCCACCAAGGCGUCGACGGGUAGCUGGUCUGAGAGGAUGAUCAGCCACACUGGGACUGAGACACGGCCCAGACUCCUACGGGAGGCAGCAGUGGGGAAUCUUGCGCAAUGGGCGAAAGCCUGACGCAGCAACGCCGCGUGCGGGAUGAAGGCCUUCGGGCUGUAAACCGCUUUCAGCAGGAACGAAAAUGACGGUACCUGCAGAAGAAGGAGCGGCCAACUACGUGCCAGCAGCCGCGGUGACACGUAGGCUCCAAGCGUUGUCCGGAUUUAUUGGGCGUAAAGAGCUCGUAGGCGGUUUAGUAAGUCGGGUGUGAAAACUCUGGGCUUAACCCAGAGACGCCAUCCGAUACUGCUGUGACUUGAGUUCAGGAGGGGAGCGGGGAAUUCCUAGUGUA
rnacentral:rRNA from 1 species